UACGGGGGGGAGCAAGCGUUGUUCGGAAUUACUGGGCGUAAAGGGCUCGUAGGCGGCCAACUAAGUCAGACGUGAAAUCCCUCGGCUUAACCGGGGAACUGCGUCUGAUACUGGUUGGCUUGAAUCCGGGAGAGGGAUGUGGAAUUCCAGGUGUAGCGGUGAAAUGCGUAGAUAUCUGGAGGAACACCGGUGGCGAAGGCGGCAUCCUGGACCGGUAUUGACGCUGAGGAGCGAAAAGCCAGGGGAGCAAACGGG
rnacentral:rRNA from 1 species